rnacentral:rRNA from 1 species
UCGGGAAUUUUGGGCAAUGGGCGAAAGCCUGACCCAGCAACGCCGCGUGAAGGAUGAAGUAUUUCGGUAUGUAAACUUCGAAAGAAUAGGAAGAAUAAAUGACGGUACUAUUUAUAAGGUCCGGCUAACUACGUGCCAGCAGCCGCGGUAAUACGUAGGGACCAAGCGUUGUUCGGAUUUACUGGGCGUAAAGGGCGCGUAGGCGGCAAUUCAAGUCAUCUGUGAAAUCUCCGGGCUUAACUCGGAACGGUCAGAUGAUACUGCUGUGCUAGAGUACAGAAAGGGCAAUCGGAAUUCUUGGUGUAGCGGUGAAAUGCGUAGAUAUCAAGAGGAACACCUGAGGCGAAGGCGGGUUGCUAGGCUGAUACUGACGCUGAGGCGCGAAAGCUAGGGUAGCAAACGGGAUUAGAUACCCUCGUAGUCCCUGAGCGGGCUGGCAAGGCGCAU